rnacentral:rRNA from 1 species
UGGGGAAUUUUGGACAAUGGGGGCAACCCUGAUCCAGCAACGCCGCGUGAAGGAUGAAGGCCUUCGGGUCGUAAACUUCUUUUAUAGGGGACGAAUCUGUCCGUGAAUAACGGAUCAUGACGGUACCCUGUGAAUAAGCCACGGCUAACUACGUGCCAGCAGCCGCGGUAAUACGUAGGUGGCAAGCGUUACUCGGAAUUACUAGGCGUAAAGCGCAGGUAGGUGGUUUGGUAAGUCCGUAAUGAAAUCUCCCGGCUUAACUGGGAGGGGUUUAGGGAUACUGCCAGGCUUGAGUGUGGGAGAGGUCACUGGAAUUCCUGGUGUAGCGGUGAAAUGCGUAGAGAUCAGGAGGAACACCUAUGGCGAAAGCAGGUGACUGGCCCAAUACUGACACUGAGCUGCGAAAGCUAGGGGAGCAAACAGG